CACGUAGGGUGCGAGCGUUGUCCGGAAUUAUUGGGCGUAAAGAGCUCGUAGGUGGCGCGGUAAGUCGGGUGUGAAAUUUCGGAGCUUAACUCCGAAACUGCAUUCGAUACUGCCGUGCUUGAGGACUGGAGAGGAGACUGGAAUUUACGGUGUAGCAGUGAAAUGCGUAGAGACCGUAAGGAAGACCAGUGGCGAAGGCGGGUCUCUGGACAGUUCCUGACACUGAGGCACGAAGGCCAGGGGAGCAAACGGG
rnacentral:rRNA from 1 species